GAUCAUGGCUCAGGACGAACGCUGGCGGCGUGCUUAACACAUGCAAGUCGAACGANAAUCUAUGGAACAAGGAUUCGUCCAAGUGAAAUAAGAGGACAGUGGCGGACGGGUGAGUAACGCGUGAGGAACCUGCCUUUCAGAGGGGGACAACAGUUGGAAACGACUGCUAAUACCGCAUGACAUAUAGAUGUCGCAUGGCAUUUAUUAUCAAAAGAAUUUAUUCGCUGAAAGAUGG
rnacentral:rRNA from 1 species